rnacentral:rRNA from 1 species
UACGUAGGGGGCUAGCGUUGUCCGGAAUCAUUGGGCGUAAAGCGCGCGUAGGCGGCCAGAUAAGUCCGGUGUGAAAGUCACAGGCUCAACCUGUGAAUGCCGCUGGAAACUGUCUGGCUAGAGUCCGGAAGGGGCGAGUGAAAUUCCUGGUGUAGCGGUGAAAUGCGCAGAUAUCAGGAGGAACACCAAUGGCGAAGGCAGCUCGCUGGAACGGUACUGACGCUGAGGCGCGAAAGCGUGGGGAGCGAACAGG